ACACGUGGGUAACCUGCCUGUAAGACUGGGAUAACUCCGGGAAACCGGGGCUAAUACCGGAUGGUUGUUUGAACCGCAUGGUUCAAACAUAAAAGGUGGCUUCGGCUACCACUUACAGAUGGACCCGCGGCGCAUUAGCUAGUUGGUGAGGUAACGGCUCACCAAGGCAACGAUGCGUAGCCGACCUGAGAGGGUGAUCGGCCACACUGGGACUGAGACACGGCCCAGACUCCUACGGGAGGCAGCAGUAGGGAAUCUUCCGCAAUGGACGAAAGUCUGACGGAGCAACGCCGCGUGAGUGAUGAAGGUUUUCGGAUCGUAAAGCUCUGUUGUUAGGGAAGAACAAGUACCGUUCGAAUAGGGCGGUACCUUGACGGUACCUAACCAGAAAGCCACGGCUAACUACGUGCCAGCAGCCGCGGUAAUACGUAGGUGGCAAGCGUUGUCCGGAAUUAUUGGGCGUAAAGGGCUCGCAGGCGGUUUCUUAAGUCUGAUGUGAAAGCCCCCGGCUCAACCGGGGAGGGUCAUUGGAAACUGGGGAACUUGAGUGCAGAAGAGGAGAGUGGAAUUCCACGUGUAGCGGUGAAAUGCGUAGAGAUGUGGAGGAACAC
rnacentral:rRNA from 1 species